AUUUCUAAUAAGUUGUGGUAACAGCAAGCUAAUUUCACUGUUCAACAUACAGUCUUUGAUAUGGAAGUGUGAGGGGUAACGUAUUUAUUCUGUGAAACAUUAAAUAGACACUGCUAGCUGGUUAGAUUUUUUGACAAAAUGCAGCAUCCUUAAAUCCUUAGUUGUAAACCUGCUAGCCUAUAUAUGCAGCCUUUUUGAAAUAUGCUGUUUAAAUGGUAAAUUAAUCACGUAAUUAUUAUCGUAUUCAUUGUGGACGUUGCGUAUUUAAAAGUGAGGAAAGCGUUUUGUAUGAAAUCCAUAGGCCUACAAGCGCAGUAAGUUAGUCCCUCACAGGGCUCGCACGUAAAUCGGCGGGAAAUAGUGAGUGAGUUGUGUGUGGAAAGUCUGCUGUAUUUUAGAAAUACUCGUCAGAAAAAGCAACUGAGCUGCUAAAGAGGAGACAGCUUUGAAGGUCCUGCCAACUCUGCUUUCCCCAUCCAUCUACAGGAGAGGAGGAAAGGUCUUCAGACCCACCACAGAGGAGGCCCAGAAGUCAUUUAUUGACAUGCAACCUGUUGGGACCAUGAGAUGACUGGAGCAUUGCUGCACAUUCUGUGCCUCAGUGAUGAGACAAGGGGGACAUCACAGACCUCUGCCAUUAUUCCAUGCCACGCC